rnacentral:lncRNA from 13 species
GACAGGUAGCCUAGUGGUUAGAGGCAGGUAGCCUAGUGGUUAGAGACAGGUAGCCUAGUGGUUAGAGCCAGGUAGCCUAGUGGUUAGAGCCAGGUAGCCUAGUGGUUAGAGCAGGUAGCCUAGUGGUUAGAGACAGGUAGCCUAGUGGUUAGAGCAGGUAGCCUAGUGGUUAGAGAAGGUAGCCUAGUGGUUAGAGCAGGUAGCCUAGUGGUUAGAGCCAGUAACCAAAAGGUUGCUGGAUCAAAUCCCUGAGCUCACAAAAUACAAAUAUGAAAUUCUGACCCUGAACAAGGCAGGUAACCCACUGUUCCCCAAUAGGCUGUCAUUGACUUGCCAAGGUUAAAUAUAUAUUUUUAAAACAGUCCCUAUCUAGGGCUCUACCCUUAACCAGGGGGCCAUUUCACACACAGACAACAUCUCCAAACAAGUGGUUGAAAUGUACACGUUUAUUCAUUGUAUCAUUAAUCAAAUAUACAAAGAACAAUACACAGCCAGGUCCCAGAUCAGUUUGUGCUUCAGCCAACCUAUCUUGGUCCUGUAUUCGUAAAGCCUCUCCUAGUAGUAGAGCUGAUAUUAGUCUUUUAGAUCACGGUGGCCGCGUUUUACACAGGCAGCCCAAUUCUGAUCUAUUUGGCAAUAAUUGGUCUUUUGACUGGGCAAAAUAUCCGAAUCGGUCUGCCUGUUUUAAUGCAGCCAAUGAAUUAGAUGAUUAUAUACAAAAAAGGGGAACUGACUCUAGAUCAGCAGAGGCUUUAUAAAUACAGGCCCCGGACAGGUUGGCUGAAGCCUAAACUGAUCCUAGAUCAGCUCUACUACUAGGAGAGGCUUUACGAAUACAGGCCCCAGACAGGUUGGCUGAAGCCUAAACUGAUCCUAGAUCAGCUCUACUACUAGGAGAGGCUUUACGAAUACAGGCCCAGAACAUGACGAUUGAUAAAUCAGGGGAGUCGGCUAAUACAAAACAAAUUCGGGAACAGGCUUUACAGAAAACACAGCUAGAAUCAAACUUACUCACGGAUCUGUCCCAAAUGGUCCCCUAUUCCCUACAUAGUGCCCUAUAGCCCUAUGGGCCCUGGUUAAAGGAGUGCACUAUAAAGUGAAUAGAGGGUUGGGAUGUAGAAAAGGUUUCUUUCAUACAAUGACAACAUUAUAUAGAAUUAGAUAAAUCACGAUCACAAAACAAAUACAAAUCUAGACUUAAUUUACAUCUUUUAAAAAGUCCUUUCAUUCUAUUUCUAUGUGUUUUUUUUUUUUUAAAGACUCGACCCUGUAGAUCUGGAGAACAUAAGAUAGGUGUUAGCAUAAGUAAUGUGGCAUGUGGUUUGUAUUGGAACAAGAGACACAUGUCUGCAAUAUUGGAACUAGGCCGGGAGAAAAGGAAGUAUGUUGUCGGUAUUGGAACUAGGCCGGGGUAAAGGAAGUAUGUUGUCGGUAUUGGAACUAGGCCAGNNNNNNNNNNACAAAUUCGGGAACAGGCUUUACAGAAAACACAGCUAGAAUCAAACUUACUCACGGAUCUGUCCCAAAUGGUCCCCUAUUCCCUACAUAGUGCCCUAUAGCCCUAUGGGCCCUGGUUAAAGGAGUGCACUAUAAAGUGAAUAGAGGGUUGGGAUGUAGAAAAGGUUUCUUUCAUACAAUGACAACAUUAUAUAGAAUUAGAUAAAUCACGAUCACAAAACAAAUACAAAUCUAGACUUAAUUUACAUCUUUUAAAAAGUCCUUUCAUUCUAUUUCUAUGUGUUUUUUUUUUUUUAAAGACUCGACCCUGUAGAUCUGGAGAACAUAAGAUAGGUGUUAGCAUAAGUAAUGUGGCAUGUGGUUUGUAUUGGAACAAGAGACACAUGUCUGCAAUAUUGGAACUAGGCCGGGAGAAAAGGAAGUAUGUUGUCGGUAUUGGAACUAGGCCGGGGUAAAGGAAGUAUGUUGUCGGUAUUGGAACUAGGCCAGNNNNNNNNNNCUACUAGCCAGGUAUCUGGGGUCCCCUGGUGGUAGUGUGUAGUCAGUGUUGGGGACUAGCUACUAGCCAGGUAUCUGGGGUCCCCUGGUGGUAGUGUGUAGUCAGUGUUGGGGACUAGCCAGGUAUCUGGGGUCCCCUGGUGGUAGUGUGUAGUCAGUGUUGGGGACUAGCUACUAGCCAGGUAUCUGGGGUCCCCUAGUGGUAGUGUGUAGUCAGUGUUGGUGGCCAAGGUGAUAACAGCACAGAGGAACCAACACCAUUCACACUAAUCUCCUGUGAUGACUAUAAACACACACAGUACACAAAGGAAACCAAAACUAAACUACAGAAGGGCACUGCUGAAUAUAGCUCAUCAGCAACACAAAUUAAUAUAGUGAAUGUACAAUGUAUAGCCAGCACAAUGUAUUUGCUUCCAACCUGACGAGAGACACACAGAGAGACACAGAGAGACACAGAGACACACAGAGACACACAGAGACACACAGAGACACACAGAGACACACAGAGACACACAGAGACACACAGAGACACACAGAGACACAGAGAGACACAGAGAGAGAGAGUCUAGAAC